AGUCCCGUGGUGUAGUGGUCAAGCAUGCAGGCCUUUGGAGCCUGCGACGGCGGUUCGAAUCCGCCCGGGACUA
rnacentral:tRNA from 1 species